rnacentral:rRNA from 1 species
UACGUAGGGUGCAAGCGUUGUCCGGAAUUAUUGGGCGUAAAGAGCUCGUAGGCGGUCUGUCACGUCGGCUGUGAAAACCCGAGGCUCAACCUCGGGCCUGCAGUCGAUACGGGCAAACUAGAGUGUUGCAGGGGAGACUGGAAUUCCUGGUGUAGCGGUGAAAUGCGUAGAUAUCUGGAGGAAUACCGGUGGCGAAGGCGGCAUCCUGGACCGGCAUUGACGCUGAUGAGCGAAAGCUAGGGGAGCAAACGGG